UGGGGAAUAUUGCACAAUGGGCGCAAGCCUGAUGCAGCCAUGCCGCGUGUAUGAAGAAGGCCUUCGGGUUGUAAAGUACUUUCAGCGAGGAGGAAGGCGUUGUGGUUAAUAACCGCAACGAUUGACGUUACUCUCAGAAGCAGCACCGGCUAACUCCGUGCCAGCAGCCGCGGUAAUACGGAGGGUGCAAGCGUUAAUCGGAAUUACUGGGCGUAAAUCGCACGCAGGCGGUCUGUCAAGUCGGAUGUGAAAUCCCCGGGCUCAACCUGGGAACUGCAUCCGAAACUGGCAGGCUAGAGUCUUGUAGAGGGGGGUAGAAUUCCAGGUGUAGCGGUGAAAUGCGUAGAGAUCUGGAGGAAUACCGGUGGCGAAGGCGGCCCCCUGGACAAAGACUGACGCUCAGGUGCGAAAGCGUGGGGAGCAAACA
rnacentral:rRNA from 1 species